AUGGUGUGGUGCCCCAUGUCUGUGAGAUGUAUGCAGGUGGCAUGGUGUGGUGCCCUGUGUCUGUGGGAUGUAUGCAGGUGGCAUGGUGUGGCAUGGUGUGGUG